AUUUGUGGGCAGGCGAUUAGCUAACAUUUGUUUUUAGCGUGUCCAGCAUCGGCCCAAAGGCAGACCAUAUGAGAUAAUUAAAAGCACAUGCAGUCCUCCCAACCGUACUGAUGCUGCUCUAGCUACUUUUUUUUAUUGGAAUACAUAUAUACAAGGUUUAUGGGAUUUCUGUGCCCCAUCCUCCGAACCUAAGAUCCGCUUUGCUGUGCAGUCUACGUAAAUAUCUGUUAAACGGAUGUUGUAAAUGGAGUGUCAGUGGGUAAGGGAGGUGUGUCUGGACGAUGCCGUUGCAUAUUUUUCCCAUUGCACUAUGGAUAAAAAGCGCAUUUUUUGGAAUUAAUCCAAAAAUAGAGCUAGAGCUCUAAAAAUAGGCAAGAAUGUUCGUUAGACUAAAGUAGAAUUUCGGAAAAAAAGUUAGUCUUUUGGACCUCGCCUACCUGCCGGCCCCAUACGAACUGGAAGCCAGUUACGUCGUAUUUUUUAUAAAUAAAUUUAUUAAAAAAAUUAAUUAUGAUAAAAGAUCUUUAAAAACAUUUUAUAACUUAAAAAAAAUAUAUAUAUGUGAUUGACUGAUUGAAUGAUUUUUUGGUUAAAAGUUAUUUGUUUGGAAUCGCGAUUGCAUUUCGCUCAGUACUUGUUUACCUUCGCAAUAAAUUGGAAAAUUGUCGUUUAAAUUGUAAUAAUGUAUCUUUAGCUAGACAGGUUUCAUCAAAACCUUCUACAGAAAAACAUUUUAUUGCAUCUGCUUCGCGAUUUUUGUUGGUUCAGACCUCCAGCAGUGCUGCAUGAGUGAAAACAUAAGCAUCUGCAAAAUUUAAGAGAACACACACAUAUUAUGACAAAAAUUCGGGCUUUUUACCCAUAGUGCAUUGGCUGAUAUGAUCUGUAAAUUGUAUACUUAGCAUGAUCGCACAAAUAAUUGUAUUGUAACGUAUAAUUUUAUUGCAUUGUCAUAAUUUAGUUUAAAGUUUCAAAAAUAAAAAUAUAUUAUUAUACUAUAUAUAUUAUUACAGACAGAAUGACGAAAUUAAUUUUCAUUGGCUAAACCCAAUAAAACCAUUCCCGCAGUUUUUUUUUUAUUUUUUUUUCAUUGCACAUUUUCUCAUUCACACUUUUGUUCUCUUCUUUUGUUUUGCACGCUAUUUUUUUAAAUUAUUGAAUGUUUUCAGUUAACAUGGCUCUGUUAAUGGUUUACACACAUUUACAAAUACACAAAAUGAAAACAAAAACAAUUAAAAAUCCACCCUGAAAUGCAACCGUGCGAAUGUGCAGUUACUUGGAUGAUUGAUGUCGCUGGUGUAUUUUACCUUGCAAUCCUUGCAUUUUUUGUGAGGGUUUUACCUUUCGUCGAAACCUUAGCUUUUUGACAGAAAUUUCUCAGCAUGAAAGCUACCUGGUUUCCUGCAAGAUCGUUAGAAUAAAAAACUUAAAAUAAAUAAUAAAUUAUUAACUAAAUAUAAAAUAUUAAUAUUUAACUAUAGCAAAUAUAUAGAAAUAAAAGGAAUCAAAUCAAUGCAACACCAUUCAUAGUUGAUUAGUUAGACGAUAAAGAAGAAUAAUGAAUAAUGAAUUAUGAAUGAUAAUUUUGAAACCGGAUUCUAGCCCCAAUUAUGUUGUAAAGAUUGAAGAACUGCCCCCAAAGCACUCCGAGCUUAUAAUAAAUUCUGUGCAAUUCUAGAAUUUCUUUUCCUCUUUUGUUCCGCGCUUUCACUAAUUGUCAAUGAUAUCAGUUAACAUAUGGACUUGUGUCUCUGUUAAUAAUUUAC
rnacentral:lncRNA from 1 species